UCAGAGUUUAUAGAAGUAUUAUGUAUUCCUAUUGAUGAACUUCUUAACAAAUUAAAUGACUAUACUGUACAAGGAGUUGUAGUGAAUACGAUGGUCUAUUCAUAUGCAAUUGCUAUGGAACAGUCAAAGAAAUCAAAAAAUAAAUCUUUAUAAUAUA